UACGGGGGGGGCAAGCGUUGUUCGGAAUUACUGGGCGUAAAGGGCUCGUAGGUGGCCAACUAAGUCAGACGUGAAAUCCCUCAGCUUAACUGGGGAACUGCGUCUGAUACUGGAUGGCUUGAGUUUGGGAGAGGGAUGCGGAAUUCCAGGUGUAGCGGUGAAAUGCGUAGAUAUGUGGAGGAACACCGAUGGCGAAGGCAGCCCCCUGGGUUAACACUGACGCUCAUGCACGAAAGCGUGGGGAGCAAACAGG
rnacentral:rRNA from 1 species